rnacentral:lncRNA from 1 species
UAGAAAGUCUGGACAGUAGAUCACCUUGCAAUUUGCUAGCAUUCAUGAUUUGCAUUCUACAGUCAAUAAUCUUCCUAGUUAUCCAAGAGGUAUUUUUUGGACUAGCCAUUGUUUCAAUAUCUUCCUUCUUUAUGUAGUCAAGAUGGAUCCAUUUGAUCCAAAGGCAGUCUUUCUUCCUUGCUAAAUCCCAUAGCAGUUUUGA